AGAGUUUGAUCAUGGCUCAGGACGAACGCUAGCGGCGUGCCUAAUGUAUGCAAGUCGAGCGGGGUAAGAGACUUGUCUCUUAUUCAGCGGCAAACGGUUGAGUAACACGUAGGCAACCUGCCCCAGAGACGGGGAUAGCCCGCCGAAAGGCGGAUUAAUACCGGAUGCGGCCGGAGGGGACAUCCCCUUUGUGCUAAAGGGAGCAAUCCGCUCUGGGAUGGGCCUGCGGCCUAUCAGCUAGUUGGUGAGGUAACGGCUCACCAAGGCGACGACGGGUAGCUGGUCUGAGAGGAUGGUCAGCCAGACAGGGACUGAGACACGGCCCUGACUCCUUUGGGGGGCAGCAAUGAGGGAUAUUGCACAAUGGGCGAAAGCCUGAUGCAGCGACGCCGCGUGGGUGACGAAGUCCUUCGGGAUGUAAAGCCCUUUUCUGGGGGAAGAGAACGGACGGUACCCCAGGAAUAAGCCCCGGCUAACUACGUGCCAGCAGCCGCGGUA
rnacentral:rRNA from 1 species